CGGGUGUAGCAAUACAUCAGUGGCAGACGGGUGAGUAACACGUGGGAACCUUCCUAGGGGUACGGAACAACUCAGGGAAACUUGAGCUAAUACCGUAUACGUCCGUAAGGAGAAAGAUUCAUCGCCCCUAGACGGGCCCGCGUCGGAUUAGCUAGUUGGUGGGGUAACGGCCUACCAAGGCGACGAUCCGUAGCUGAUCUGAGAGGAUGAUCAGCCACACUGGGACUGAGAUACGGCCCAGACUCCUACGGGAGGCAGCAGUGGGGAAUCUUGCGCAAUGGUCGAAAGACUGACGCAGCGACGCCGCGUGCGGGAGGAAGCCCUUCGGGGUGUAAACCGCUGUUACUCGGGACGAACUUCCCGAUUUGUCGGGAUUGACGGUACCGGGGGAGGAAGCACCGGCUAACUCUGUGCCAGCAGCCGCGGUAAUACAGAGGGUGCGAGCGUUGUCCGGAAUCACUGGGCGUAAAGGGCGCGUAGGCGGCUUCUCACGCGUGCGGUGAAAGCUCGGGGCUUAACUCCGAGUCUGCCGUGCGAACGGGGAGGCUUGAGUCUGGUAGAGGUCGAUGGAAUUCCGGGUGUAGCGGUGGAAUGCGUAGAGAUCCGGAAGAACACCGGUGGCGAAGGCGGUCGACUGGGCCAGUACUGACGCUGAGGCGCGACAGCGUGGGGAGCAAGCAGGAUUAGAUACCCUGGUAGUCCACGCCGUAAACGAUGGGCA
rnacentral:rRNA from 1 species